rnacentral:lncRNA from 1 species
AUCACUCUCUUUCAACUACUUGAUGCGAGAUUAGUAGAUCUCUGGAUCAUCAUUGAUUGUUGAAAAAAAUCUGAUAUUUCGAUUAUCCUUCUCGAUCCACUAUACUCUGGACUUCUACCUCCAUAGUGUGUCUUGCUGUUUCAAUAAAGAUUGGUACAUGGAGAGCUUGUGUCGAAGCUCCCUCAGGUUAGGCUCCUGAAGGUCCCUUCCUGAUCCUCUCUCCUCUGAAGCUCCAUAAUGUCCACCUUUACCCCUUUGAUCCAUCUGAAAAUGUCACCAAUCUUUAGACGGUUUCAUUGAAUGAGCCUACAUCUCACCAACUCAAGCCUCCUGGUCAUCUGAUAUCUCACAUCACCACAGACUGACAUCCUAAUUGUGUCCUAAAGUCAAUCAUCUAGGUUGUAGAUGAUUGUGCUCCAUACAUGUAUAUGAAUUAUAAAAUGAUAAAUGUUACCUGACAAGAUUCAUCAUAAGAAAUACAUCUUCCUAAAUAAAACUCAUAUACUAUGAUGA